AGGACGAACGCUGGCGGCGUGCUUAACACAUGCAAGUCGAACGGUAAGGCCCUUCGGGGUACACGAGUGGCGAACGGGUGAGUAACACGUGGGUGAUCUGCCCUGCACUUCGGGAUAAGCUUGGGAAACUGGGUCUAAUACCGGAUAUGACUACGAAUCGCAUGGUUUGUGGUGGAAAGCUUUUGCGGUGUGGGAUGGGCCCGCGGCCUAUCAGCUUGUUGGUGGGUGAUGGCCUACCAAGGCGACGACGGGUA
rnacentral:rRNA from 1 species